UACGAAGGGGGCUAGCGUUGCUCGGAAUCACUGGGCGUAAAGCGCACGUAGCGGACUCUUAAGUCGGUGGUGAAAUCCUGGAGCUCAACUCCAGAACUGCCUUCGAUACUGAGAGUCUUGAGUCCGGAGAGGUGAGUGGAACUGCGAGUGUAGAGGUGAAAUUCGUAGAUAUUCGCAAGAACACCAGUGGCGAAGGCGGCUCACUGGCCCGGUACUGACGCUGAGGUGCGAAAGCGUGGGGAGCAAACAGG
rnacentral:rRNA from 1 species